UAAGACGGAGGAGGCAAGCGUUAUCCGGAAUUAUUGGGCGUAAAGCGUCCGCAGGCGGUUUUUUAAGUCUGUUGUCAAAGCCCACAGCUCAACUGUGGAUCGGCAAUGGAAACUGAGAGACUUGAGUGUGGUAGGGGUAGAGGGAAUUCCCGGUGUAGCGGUGAAAUGCGUAGAUAUCGGGAAGAACACCAGUGGCGAAGGCGCUCUACUGGGCCACAACUGACGCUGAGGGACGAAAGCUAGGGGAGCGAAAGGGA
rnacentral:rRNA from 1 species